AGUAAGAGUGGCAGCAGAUGACCCUGAAUACAUGGCCAUCCGGGUUAGUUCAGCAUUGCCUCUUUUCUGCUUGGAGUAACAAAGUUACGAAGCUUAUUCAUAUGUGAAAGGUGCAACAAGGACGCCUUUCUCCACUGCAGGAUGCUGAAGUAAGUGUUGAUAAAAACAUCACACAUAAAAGAGAGCUUAAAUGAAAACAGAGACAAGAGGAUGCUGAACAGAGAAAAGAAGCUGGAUCAGGGAUCUGAUGGCUGACCAUGAACAGCUGUGCACAGGUAAUCCAGAUACAUGUUCAAAUGCCUAAACUCUCCAGGUUAGGUGUAUAUUUACCUGCACUGCUCAGAUAGAAAUUUGCAAAUGAGGUAUGUGUCCAUAAAUCACAAUCUUCUUCAGGUCAAAUGUUGUGGAAAUCUGACAAAUUAAAAAUUAUAUUCUUAGAAAGGAUGCUUUGACAAAACCUCUAGACAGGAUCUCAUAUUUAGCACAAAGCGCUAUUUCUGAAGCGAGCUCUCCUUAGCUGCAGAACCUUACUUGGAUCCCCUAAUUGCUUCUAUCUCUGGAGCUGGAAGGUGAAGGCACUUCUGAAGAGCUGCUGGUCACAGAAACACCACUAUUUUGUCAGUUUGACAGUGACUACUCCCCGUUCAUCUUCAUCUGCAUAAAACACUCUAUUCUGCAUCUCUUUUGCACAUGCUGUAAAUGCUCCUCCUGCAGCAGUAUUUCUGCUGUAUUCCUGCUAGAACCUUCUGCAGAAGCCAGACCUCUGGGCAUUCCUGAGACAGACUCAGAAGGGAAUUUUCUGAGUCAAAUUAGUAAGGGCAAAGGCCAGUAUUCUCACUUAAUGACAAGAAAUAUUCACCUGGAUUAGUACUGCCUACUUAACAGGAACCAACGGAGCAUCAAGAUUUGACCUCCUAUGACUUGGAUACUUUCUAAAUUGUAUUUUUAUGUCAGAAUGCUGCCAUGUUGCUCGUUAGAAGAGUAGGGACAAGUAAAAAUUUUUACAUUUUGGGGAGAGCUGCAACAGCAGCUGGAGCCAUUCUGCCUUGUCUUAUCCCGCAUUGCAAGCCUUCACAGAAAGCCAGAGAAAAUGAGCUGCCAAAAAAAAUACACUAAUAAAGCAGAUGAGUCCAUUAUUCCCA
rnacentral:lncRNA from 1 species